rnacentral:lncRNA from 1 species
GAAAAGAGAAAGAAGCAAAAAUUGGCUGUGAGGGGACAAGAAAAUGUUUGAAUAAGCUAGGUAUUGCUUUCCGGUUUAAAAAUGUUAUUGGAAUAUGCGUGUGUUGGCCAUGUUAACAUGUAACGGUGUAACAGCUUGUACGUGCAGCUUAGAUCCGCUAGAAUAGGGCAGCUAGAUAGGACAGCUCUUGUACGUCCCUGCCUUGUAGAUGUACUUAACGAGUUAAUGCAAUCGUUGUCGACUUGACUCUCACAACUCUCUCGUUUAUCUCGUGUCUCUCCCUCAUUUCAUGGUAUCACACGGGAUCGAAGGGGCUCUUUCAUUACUAACCCCUUCGCUUCUCGAUCCGAUCCUACCGCUUCCACUCCAAUGGAGGGCGUUCUCGAUCACUCCUCCGGCAACUCAACUCCUCGAUCUCCUGCAAGCUCCCAGGAUCACCUUUGGGACAUGAUGGAUCGCGCGAACCAGGCCGGGUGUUC